UGGGGAAUUUUGCACAAUGGGGGAAACCCUGAUGCAGCGACGCCGCGUGAUUUAGAAGGCCUUCGGGUUGUAAAAAUCUUUUUUAUGGGAUGAAAAUGACAGUACCAUAAGAAUAAGGUCCGGCUAAAUACGUGCCAGCAGCCGCGGUAAUACGUAGGUGGCAAGCGUUAUCCGGAAUUAUUGGGCGUAAAGCGCGCGUAGGCGGUUUUUUAAGUCUGAUGUGAAAGCCCACGGCUCAACCGUGGAGGGUCAUUGGAAACUGGAAAACUUGAGUGCAGAAGAGGAAAGUGGAAUUCCAUGUGUAGCGGUGAAAUGCGCAGAGAUAUGGAGGAACACCAGUGGCGAAGGCGACUUUCUGGUCUGUAACUGACGCUGAUGUGCGAAAGCGUGGGGAUCAAACAGG
rnacentral:rRNA from 1 species